AAAGUGAACCCCAAAGAGCCCAGCUCGCGACGAUGACAGGCCAUUUCCACUUCUUAGGUUAACAUUUCAUCUCAGAGGCCUCUCUUCUCUCUCUGGCAGUUGCAAGGCUUCCUCUUUGCCUCAGCUGCACUUACUGUGUGAAGGUACGCCAUUGACUACAGUGAAGAGAGCUUGAAAAUGCCAACUUGAAGCUGGCACACGGGUUUUACAUUUUUGUUGAAGCUGACGCCCCUGUGAGACUUCUACUACCUUCGGCAGCAGCUUGUUCUUUCACAGAUUUCCUUCUGAGACACUUCAGGUGGAGCCAAUACUCCUCUAUCUUCUCCCUUUGGAAGCUACAUCUGAGGACCUGAGAAGAGGCCCCUGGACACAGUGUUGGGAAACCAGCUCAUUCCCUUCCCCACUUCUCAUCCCAGUUUCUGCCAUAGUUCAUUAAAAAUCCUCCAGACUAGUACCCCUAUGCUCUGUAUCCUGGACACUGACCUGCUAUACAGGAGUUCUGCCCCCACUCUCUUGAACCUAUAAUAAAAUCCUUUCUAAAACUCA